rnacentral:rRNA from 1 species
AACGAACGUUGGCGGCGCGCCUAACACAUGCAAGUCGCACGAGAAAGGGAGCAAUCCCCGGUACAGUGGCGCACGGGUGAGUAACACGUGGAUAAUCUUCCCUUGGGCGGGGGAUAACCUUCCGAAAGGAGGGCUAAUACCGUAUAAGACCACAGCGAGUUCGCUCGCAGGGGUCAAAGCUGGCCUCUUCAUGAAAGCUAGCACCUAAGGAUGAGUCCGCGUCCCAUCAGCUAGUUGGUAGUGUAAAAGACUACCAAGGCGAAGACGGGUAGCUGGUCUGAGAGGAUGAUCAGCCAAAAUGGAACUGAGACACGGUCCAGACUCCUACGGGAGGCAGCAGAGGGGAAUCUUGCGCAAUGGGCGAAAGCCUGACGCAGCGACGCCGCGUGGGUGAUGAAGGCCCUCGGGUUGUAAAGCCCUGUGGGGAGGGACGAAUAAGUCGUGGCUAAUAUCCACGAUGAUGACGGUACCUCCUUAGCAAGCACCGGCUAACUCUGUGCCAGCCGCCGCGGUAA